rnacentral:rRNA from 1 species
UACGAAGGGGGCUAGCGUUGCUCGGAAUUACUGGGCGUAAAGCGCGCGCAGGCGGCUAUCCAAGUCAGUGGUGAAAGCCCGGAGCUCAACUCCGGAACUGCCAUUGAAACUGUUUAGCUUGAGGACGAGAGAGGUGAGUGGAAUUCCCAGUGUAGAGGUGAAAUUCGUAGAUAUUGGGAAGAACACCGGUGGCGAAGGCGGCUCACUGGCUCAUUACUGACGCUCAGGCGCGAUAGCGUGGGGAUCAAACAGG